UACCAAAACUUGGUAUCCUUACCUAUAUAUAAGUAUAAUUUAUAUAUACUUGGUAGUGCCUUGCAAAAAUAGAGAAAAUCUUUUUUUUUUUUUUUAACAAAAAGGGCAAUCUAUGUACUAGUAUUCUUAUAUGUAAACAUAUACCGCACACAUAUAUACAUAUUCGGUAGUAACAGGUUAUGGGAUAAAAUAUUUUGGCAUCAUUUGAGCUUCAAAUUAAAGAUUGAUUAUCCGAAUCAAUUAUUCAAAGCUCGGGUUCUACUAGCGUUAUUUUGAGGCUUUGCGAAAAGGCUUUUCGCGUUGGCGUCCAGAUCCAGGUACUAGCAGUCGAUCUUGAUGUAGUUCCUACCUUUCAGUACUGGUUCGGAGCAGGGUGAGCUUACUGUUGUCCGAGGAUGAUCCUCCUCUAUCUACUCCAGUUAGUCUUUUGCACUCGAGACUGCCUGUAUAUGUUGUGUAUAUCUUAGAUUUUUGUCUAGUACUAUGGGUACCUGUUUAGUAGUGGCUCUAGUACUGACCUUAUCAGGUUUGGGGAGGAAUUCAUUUAUAUAGUUGGUCUUUUUUUUUCCUCCUCUCGUUUUGAUUAUAAUAUAUAUGAUCCCUUCUUAGUUUUCACUUAUUA